CUUAUGUUGAAAAAUCAUUAGCUCUGACAAAGCUGGCACCAAUUUCCUGUGUGGUAACAGUCAGCUGGCAGCAGCGCUGAGCAGCGGUUGGCCACUUUCUGUGGGGUCUACACCUUCAGUUCACCACCAGCCCAGUCCUCUCGUCUGUGUUAUCUCCUCCCUGCGGUGCAUGCCUUUGGGUCCCCACACCUGUAGGGUCCCUCUGACUCUAGAAUUGUAGUUAUUUUGGCUCACUGAUGUGUGGUAAGGCCUUCUGGAACUCAGCAAUAAAGUUAAGGAUUACCUUGCCAAUAAGCUUCUACGCUUAAAUGAAAUAACCCUGGGAGCCUCUUCUCUGUCAUCCAACAGAGCAGAUGCCCUUAGAGCUCUCAGCAAUACCUCUGGGGCCAGAACCUGCUGGCUCUAGAAAGUCUCGCUUGUCCAUCACUGACCACUGGGCAUCUCAGUAGCGUGUCUCUCCCCAAAAGAUGCCUGGGCCUAGUGUCCAAGAACUGUUCUCCUUGAGUUAAUGGAAGUGCUGGACUAUGCUACUGGCUGUUGCCCAGAAGGACUCGUGGUGCCUGCGUGCGAAGGGCCAUGGCUCUUCUGUGGACCCACAACUUCACAGAAAUUUCAUGAGAGCCGACUUCUCUCAUCUGCCUUAGACAGAUCCUGUAAGUUUUGUAGGUUUGUGUGUGAUGAUGGAUAAGAGACUUGGUGAAAGAGCUUUUGACAUUCCUGCCAUCACCUCCAGAAAGUGCGAGUAGAGCACUAGAGCGUUUUUCAGAAGACUCGAAGAAAAUACCCUUUCAUUCAGGAUCAAGCUUGCUAUUUAAGUGCCUUCAACCAACUCAACAGGAAAACAAGAGACAGCCAAAAAAAAUCACACUUCACUUUCUAGAAUGUUGAUAGCUUUACCAUAAUCCACUCAUGUGUUCACUGAUCUAAAGACAAAGAACUCGCUCGUACCAGAGGUUGGGUUUACUUACCCUGUAUGUCUGGACAUGAAUGGCCUCCCCUCUCUAAGUGUCCAGCUGUUUGGCACUGAGGAGACAGGCUGUUCGGAUCACUGAUGCAAUUGUGGAACCCAGUGGCCUGAAGCCGGUCAGUGAAGAGGCUGCUCGGAUCCCCGGGCCUCACAGGCCACAGGAAGCCAGCGAGGGCGGGGCUCCGAGCCUGUUUAAGGCCAGGUCCCUGCGGAGCGCAGCCUCCUACAUACCAGGUAGCACCAGGUAGUUUUCCACCACAAAUUUGCUCCAGAAUCACCUAGAAGCUCUGGAAAUGCAAAUCCACUGAGUCAGAGCGCUGGAAUUGAGCCGCAGACUGCAAUUUUAACAAGCACUGCAGGUGACUUUGAGCUUAAGAACCACCAGUCUCACACGUGGACUUUAAAAACUCACGUGGAGAAUAUUUCUCAUUCCUCAGUUUAAAACAUUCUUUAAUAGUAUCUCCGCUUAGAGCGGAGAAGUUCCAGGAAACAGAAUGCCAAGCCCUGGAGGGGACAGGAUAUGGGCUUCAGAAUCAUCACGUGCUGUCUCCUACCACGCUCAGGUCAGGUGAGAGGGGCCUCGUUACCUGGGACCUGCUGUGAGGCAGCGGCUGUGACUAGCUCUCCAGGUCCUUCCAGUUAAGCUUGAACUGUGUUUUUUAGAGGCUUGAGCUGAACGCCCCUUGGUUCCAGGUGGAACACAUUUUCACUUAAAACCAUCAAAUGUUGGCUCUGAAGGGAAUUGAGAGAUCUAGUCCAGAGCCCCCAUUUUUAUAAAGGAGGAGUUACUGGUUAGAAGCAGACAAUAAUGCUACGAUGAUAAAUUCCUGAAUUUAUAUUCAAGGAGCUUCAUGGAGAGAGGGAGUUAGGAGGAGAGCAAUCAAGUAGGAACUAAAUCAUCCUCUCCAAAUUCAGAGAGGCCUCCAGUUUCCUGACAAUCCUUUCAAGGGGAGUGCAUGCCAGGCGGGGACUCUCAAAUUCCCCAGCGUCGCCAGGCUUCCCUGUCGGCUCAGAGAGGACAGCUUGCCCUGCCGGCCCUGGCUGAGCAGGCUCUUCCACCCAGAAACACACCAACCCCUAACGUGGCCUGGUCCGUGGUCUGGUUUGUUCCCUACAUGGUGUCAGUUCUGUACCAAGUUUUGCUCUGGGCCCUGGUAUAUAUCAUUAACAGGAGAGGUGGGAGCUACUCUCACGGAGCUCACUGUCUCAUUACAAACUCAUUAAAUUCUGUUUCUGUGUUUUAACUGUCCAGUUUCUGCUUUGAGAGAAAAUUUUGGUGCUUUGUUUUUGAUAAAGAAUAAUUCACUCACUCCUUCAUUUUCUCUUUCCACAAUAUUCAUAGGAAACCGCACCAUCAGGCAUGUAAUACACCCUGUGGGCCAAGCAUUACUUUAGGUGCUGGGGAGUCAGCAGUAAAUGAGGGAAACGUGGCCCCCUCUCAAGGAGUUUUCAAUCAAGUGUAGAGAGGCAGGAAAUCGAUAAAGAACAAGGCAAUUACUGUGCUCCUCCGGUUGCGUUGAGGAGAGUGGAUGUGGUGAGGGGAGAACAAAGCAGGAACACCCACUACAAGGCUAUUGCAGUCUUUCAGGCAAAGAAAAAGGAAGAUCAGAGGAGGUAUAGGAUUUGCCCAAUGUUGCACGUAAUCAGUAAAUGUAAUGACGAGGGUGUGAACACCCAAGUGUAAUAUAUCUUCUGCUGGUAUUGAUAUUCCCACCAUGGCCAAUUUCAAGAUACCAGUGUGAUUUGGGGAAGAUGUGAACAAACUCAGCUCAGGCACACCACUGCAUGGAACCAUCAUCUACACUCUACCACUAACGUUUCAGUAUACUUGUUUAUCACACUUGUAUCCAGCCCUGUGUCAAUAAAUCUUAUUUUUUGUAAAUUUCAGAUAUAAAUAUAAUUCCCUCUAAAUACUGAAGCAUUCAUAUUAACCAGAGUUUAAUAUUUGUUUUCAGUAUUUCUUUUGAUGUAAAAUAAACUUUUAGUCUUAACUGUAUGUUCACUGAGUUUUGACAAAUUCAUACACCUGUGUAAU
ensembl:lncRNA